UACGGAGGGUGCAAGCGUUAUCCGGAAUCACUGGGUUUAAAGGGUGCGUAGGCGGCUUGAUAAGUCAGAGUUGAAAGCUCACUGCUCAACAGUGCAAUUGCCUUUGAUACUGUCAGACUAGAAUCGGCACGAGGCAGGCGGAAUGUACCAUGUAGCGUGAAAUGCUUAGAUAUGUCAUAGAACACCAAUUGCGAAGGCAGCUUGCCAGAGUCGCAUUGACGCUGAGGCACGAAAGCGUGGGGAGCGAACAGG
rnacentral:rRNA from 1 species